GCAAUGGGAGCGGCAGACGGGAGAGUAACACGUGGGAACGUACCCUUCAGUUCGGAACAACCCAGGGAAACUUGGGCUAAUACCGAAUACGUCCGUAAGGAGAAAGAUUUAUCGCUGAAGGAUCGGCCCGCGUCUGAUUAGCUAGUUGGUGAGGUAACGGCUCACCAAGGCGACGAUCAGUAGCUGGUCUGAGAGGAUGAUCAGCCUCAUUGGGACUGAGACACGGCCCAAACUCCUACGGGAGGCAGCAGUGGGGAAUACUGGACAAUGGGCGCAAGCCUGAUCCAGCCAUGCCGCGUGGAUGAUGAAGGCCCUAGGG
rnacentral:rRNA from 1 species